CAAGUUUCAAGAGAGGAGGGAGUGUCACGUUCUUGUUAUCACUUGAAGAAAACUGAGUUUUCAGACUAAGAAAAGGAUGCUUAAACUGGCUGUUAGUAGCAUCUUCUUAGGCACAGCUGGAGGCUUCUCUGAUCAUAGUGUAAAUUCUUCCCAAAUCAGGACUCAGGACACUCUGCCAGUGGCGAGGAAUGGGGAGGUGAGUGGGAGGAAGGAAAUCGAUAGUGUGAUGUGGGCAAUUAACUAACAAAGCUGAAAGACUGUCUAGAACAUCAUACAGUUGGGAGGUGGGAUAGUCUCAGUCCCAGGAAACUGGAUUUGAAGAGCUCCUUGAGUGAGCAUGUAGCAGGCAGGCCAGCUUCACAGAGGUAAUCCUUCCUGAGCUUUCACUCGGUGUCUUUCAGUUUCUCAGAUGUUGUUACUGCCUCAGGAGGCUUCCUCUUGCAGUUUCCUCAACCUGGACUGUUCUUACACACUGCCUGCAGAUCCUUCAUUGAUGUCAACUCCUUAUUUUCAGAUCCCAAGUUGGAUCAGUGAGCAUUUGUUUCGUAACAAGUGUUAGUCGCUCAGUCAUGUCUGACUCUUUGCGACCCCAUGGACUGUAGCCCACCAGGCUCCUCUGUCCAUGGGAUUUCCCAGUCAAGAACAUGUUGAGGUUUGACAGAAAAAAACAAAAUUCUGUAAAGCAAUUAUCCUUCAGUUAAAAAAUAAAUUAAAAAAAAAAAGAAAAGAAAACUUUUGGGGUGGAUAGCCAUUCCCUCCUCCAGGAGAUCUUCCCAACCCAGGGAUCAAACUUGGGGGUCCUGUAUUGCAGCCAGAUUCUUUACCAUCUGAGCCACCAGGGAAGCCCUUGUUGCCUAACAAUCUACUCCUAAACAAUAGUCAUAUAGUUGCUCAUGAUUCUGUGGGUCAGCAGUUUUAGCUGGGGUCACCUGGCAUGGCUCACCUCUAGUAUUGACUGAGGUGACUCAUUUGUCUGGGCUCUCAGCUGUGACAGCUGGGUUGCCUGGGCCUGUCUCAUAGAGAUGUUCCAACAGCAUGAGGGAAGAAGCUGCAGGGUCCCUUGAGGGCUAGGCUCAGAACUCACAUAGGGAAACUUCUUCCAGAUUCUGUUGGUCAGUUCCAGUCUAGAUGCAAAGAGUGAGGAAAUAGUUCCUGCUUCCUCAUGGGUGAAGCUGCAGUGAGUGUGUGGCUGUUUCCAGCCUAUAAUACCAAUCAAAUACCAUUUCUAAUUUAGGGAUGCCUAAGAACUCCCCUGCCAGGCUAUCCCAGGUCCCUCUAUUUCAUUUUCUAAUGGCACUCUGUCCCAUUUUUUAGUACUUGUCCAAAUGUGCUAAUCAUGAUAGGUGGUGGUUUAGUUGCUAAGUCGUGUCCAACUCUUGCGACUCCAUAGGCUACUACAGUCCAUGGGGUCACAAAGAGUUGGACACGACUGAGCGAAUUCACUCACUCAAGGGACAUAAGAAAGGUCCAUGCUUUAUAAGGUAAGUGGAGAUCGAAGGUAUGUGUGCAAAUGCCUGUCUUAUGAUAUGAAAAGUGAUCUAGGUUGGAAUGAAGGCCUGUAAAACUUAUCUUGUGAAUUCACAGAAAACUUGGGGCUUACUUCUGGUCACUGAAUGUCUUUUGUUUCCACCUAUUUUUUUCUGAGAUUGAAAACUAGCUCUCUUUACGUGUAUUCUGCUCCCUGUGAGGAGUAAUCUCCUUUUAGACACAGGAUGAUUUUGGUUUCUAUAAGUUAUCUCACAGUCUUAGGCAAAGAAAGUACAUCUUUUUUGCUGUCCUACCAUUUACACUCUUGAGCUCCAACUCCUUCUGAGAUACCUUCCACCCAGGUCUACCC
ensembl:lncRNA